AGUGAACGCUGGCGGUAGGCCUAACACAUGCAAGUCGAACGGCAGCACAGUAAGAGCUUGUUCUUACGGGUGGCGAGUGGCGGACGGGUGAGGAAUACAUCGGAAUCUACUUUUUCGUGGGGGAUAACGUAGGGAAACUUACGCUAAUACCGCAUACGACCUACGGGUGAAAGCCGGGGAUCUUCGGACCUUGCGCGAUUGAAUGAGCCGAUGUCGGAUUAGCUAGUUGGCGGGGUAAAGGCCCACCAAGGCGACGAUCCGUAGCUGGUCUGAGAGGAUGAUCAGCCAGACUGGAACUGAGACACGGUCCAGACUCCUGAGGGGGGCAGCAGUGGGGAAUAUUGGACAAUGGGCGCAAGCCUGAUCCAGCCAUACCGCGUGGGUGAAGAAGGCCUUCGGGUUGUAAAGCCCUGUUGUUGGGAAAGAAAAGCAGCAGGUUAAUACCCCGCUGUUCUGACGGUACCCAAAGAAUAAGCACCGGCUAACUUCGUG
rnacentral:rRNA from 1 species